rnacentral:tRNA from 1 species
UGGCUCAGUUGGUAGAGCAUGGUGUUUGCAACGCCAGGGUUGUGGGUUUGACUCCCAU